UUUUCUACCCUCACGUGAUCAUCGCAUUGAUGCAAGGGUGCAGGCUGUCUAGCUGUCCUGAGAUGUACCUGUCGUGCCGUGACGUGCCUGUGGUGAUGUGAAGUGUCAGUGUUACCCGCUUUGGGAUACGAUCUCGAAUGUCUCCUCCAAGAAAGGUUUAAACCGUGUGCAAGAAUCCAAGAGACUAUUCUUGAAGCCCUUAUUGCUGCAGGCAGUGCAGACACAUUGUACUGGUGGCCCCACAGUGUGACGUAUUCUGUAGUUGGAGAUACUGGGGACUACAAUCUUCGAGACGGAAAGUGCUGAUAAAUGAAGGCGCAUUUCUUGUCUUGCUGCCGCAUAUAUAUUGAACCAAUAUCUUGUAUGAGUUCUCUGUUUUA